rnacentral:rRNA from 1 species
CACUCCUACGGGAGGCAGCAGUGGGGAAUUUUGGACAAUGGGCGAAAGCCUGAUCCAGCAAUGCCGCGUGUGUGAAGAAGGCCUUCGGGUUGUAAAGCACUUUUGUCCGGAAAGAAAUCCUUGGCUCUAAUACAGUCGGGGGAUGACGGUACCGGAAGAAUAAGCACCGGCUAACUACGUGCCAGCAGCCGCGGUAAUACGUAGGGUGCGAGCGUUAAUCGGAAUUACUGGGCGUAAAGCGUGCGCAGGCGGUUUGCUAAGACCGAUGUGAAAUCCCCGGGCUCAACCUGGGAACUGCAUUGGUGACUGGCAGGCUAGAGUAUGGCAGAGGGGGGUAGAAUUCCACGUGUAGCAGUGAAAUGCGUAGAGAUGUGGAGGAAUACCGAUGGCGAAGGCAGCCCCCUGGGCCAAUACUGACGCUCAUGCACGAAAGCGUGGGGAGCAAACAGGAUUAGAAACCCGGGUAGUCC